AUUGAACGCUGGCGGCAGGCCUAACACAUGCAAGUCGAGCGGAUGAAUGGAGCUUGCUCCUGGAUUCAGCGGCGGACGGGUGAGUAAUGCCUAGGAAUCUGCCUGGUAGUGGGGGAUAACGUCCGGAAACGGGCGCUAAUACCGCAUACGUCCUGAGGGAGAAAGUGGGGGAUCUUCGGACCUCACGCUAUCAGAUGAGCCUAGGUCGGAUUAGCUAGUUGGUGGGGUAAAGGCCUACCAAGGCGACGAUCCGUAACUGGUCUGAGAGGAUGAUCAGUCACACUGGAACUGAGACACGGUCCAGACUCCUACGGGAGGCAGCAGUGGGGAAUAUUGGACAAUGGGCGAAAGCCUGAUCCAGCCAUGCCGCGUGUGUGAAGAAGGUCUUCGGAUUGUAAAGCACUUUAAGUUGGGAGGAAGGGCAGUAAGUUAAUACCUUGCUGUUUUGACGUUACCAACAGAAUAAGCACCGGCUAACUUCGUG
rnacentral:rRNA from 1 species